rnacentral:rRNA from 1 species
GACGAACGCUGGCGGCGUGCUUAACACAUGCAAGUCGAACGGUGACGGAGAGCUUGCUCUCCUGAUCAGUGGCGAACGGGUGAGUAACACGUGGGCAACCUGCCCCAGACUUCGGGAUAACGCUUCGAAAGAGGUGCUAAUACCGGAUACGAGCUCCUUGGGCAUCCUUGGAGUUGGAAAGUUUUUCGGUCUGGGAUGGGCCCGCGGCCUAUCAGCUAGUUGGUGAGGUAACGGCUCACCAAGGCGACGACGGGUAGCCGGCCUGAGAGGGCGACCGGCCACACUGGGACUGAGACACGGCCCAGACUCCUACGGGAGGCAGCAGUGGGGAAUAUUGCGCAAUGGGCGAAAGCCUGACGCAGCAACGCCGCGUGAGGGAUGACGGCCUCGGUU